GAUGAACGCUGGCGGCGUGCCUAAUACAUGCAAGUCGAGCGAACGGACGAGAAGCUUGCUUCUCUGAUGUUAGCGGCGGACGGGUGAGUAACACGUGGAUAACCUACCUAUAAGACUGGGAUAACUUCGGGAAACCGUAGCUAAUACCGGAUAAUAUUUUGUACCGCAUGGUUCAACAGUGAAAGACGGUCUUGCUGUCACUUAUAGAUGGAUCCGCGCUGCAUUAGCUAGUUGGUAAGGUAACGGCUUACCAAGGCAACGAUGCAUAGCCGACCUGAGAGGGUGAUCGGCCACACUGGAACUGAGACACGGUCCAGACUCCUACGGGAGGCAGCAGUAGGGAAUCUUCCGCAAUGGGCGAAAGCCUGACGGAGCAACGCCGCGUGAGUGAUGAAGGUCUUCGGAUCGUAAAACUCUGUUAUUAGGGAAGAACAUAUGUGUAAGUAACUGUGCACAUCUUGACGGUACCUAAUCAGAAAGCAACGGCUAACUACGUG
rnacentral:rRNA from 1 species